UACGUAGGGUGCAAGCGUUGUCCGGAUUUAUUGGGUUUAAAGGGUGCGUAGGCGGCCUGUUAAGUCAGUGGUGAAAUCCAACAGCUCAACUGUUGAUGUGCCAAUGAUACUGACAGGCUUGAGUACAGACGAGGUAGGCGGAAUUGACAGUGUAGCGGUGAAAUGCAUAGAUAUGACACAGAACACCAAUUGCGAAGGCAGCUCACUAAGCUGUAACUGACGCUGAGGCACGAAAGCGUGGGGAUCAAACAGG
rnacentral:rRNA from 1 species